rnacentral:rRNA from 1 species
AUGGCGAAGGCGCCUGGUGCCCCGCUCGGGCCCGUCCCUUUCGCGGACGUCGAAGCCGACUCGGGCUUGGUCUCCGGCGUGCCGGAGCAGCUCCCGGAGGAGCACGCCGACCCCGACGACCUUGUUUCCGCCCUGCCAAGCGCGCCGAGGCCCAAGGGCCUGUCGAGCCUCCGUCUCUACGACGGCUUCUGGCUGCCGGAGUGGUCCGUCCCGGUGGCCGUCGCCCUACAGCGCCGCUUCGAGCCCCGCCCGGACGACGUCGUCGUCGCCAGCUUCCCCAAGUGCGGCACCACGUGGGUCAACGCCCUCACGUUCGCCACCAUGGCACGGCGCGCCCACCCCGCCGCCGGCGCCGGGCACCCGCUGCUACGCCUCAACCCGCACCAGUGCGUCCCUUUCCUGGAGGCCCUCUUCGGCAGCCGCCGCGGGGAGGCCAGGCUCGCGGCGCUGCCGUCCCCGCGCCUCAUGAACACGCACAUGCCGCUGGCCAUGAUGCCCGGCGGGGGCGGGUGCAAGGUCGUGUACGUCUGCAGGGAGCCCAAGGACAUGGUCGUCUCGCUGUGGCACUUCCACCGGCGGCUGCAUCCGGAGCUGCCGCUAGCCGACGUCUUCGAGGCCGUGUGCGGCGGCGCGGUGGGGUACGGGCCGGUGUGGGACCACAUCGCCGGCUACUGGAGCGCCAGCGCGGCCAGGCCGGACGGCGUGCUCUUCCUGCGGUACGAGGAGCUGCUGCGCGACCCCGCCGGGCACGUCCGGGAGCUGGCGCGGUUCGUGGGGCUGCCUUUCUCCGGCGCGGAGGAGGAUGCCGGCGUCGUUCACGACAUCGUCAACCUCUGCAGCUUCGGGCACCUCAAGACCCUGGAAGCCAACAAGACGGGCCACAUGAAUGCCGGACUCCCGAUCCCGCGUGACGCGCUGUUCAGGAAGGGCGUGGCCGGCGACUGGGUGAACCACAUGACGCCGGAGAUGGCGCGACGCCUAGACGACAUCGUCGCCGACAAGCUCCAUGCGGCAGGCCUCACCUUCCUCCACGCCAGGGAGUGA